GUCUCCUCCUUGCUGACCAGGCAUCGCGAGCAGAUGAAUCCUCUGGGCGGUUGUCCCUGUCAGGCUGUCAGGACCUGAUUUUCCCUGGUUCACUAAAGCACCAGAAGGUAUGAAGGCGGAGAGAGGAAACAGGGCAAUGGAAUGAACACUUCUCAAGAAUCUCUCAGGUGCCACGGACUGAGCCAGGUGCCUUCCAUGUGUUAUCUCAUUUUACAGGGCAGGUAACAUUUCUGAAAGGUCAGGCAGCUAAAAAGCAGACAGCUUUCUGGCACAUUAGAGAAACAAAAGAAAUGUUGGAGACUGGAAUGCCUGCUGUGUCAAGGCACCUAAUUAGAAAACAACGUCAGAGUGAAUUUGUCGUGCGAGUCUCCAGCUCUGCCAGAAGAACUAAAAGAAAUGUGUCACCAGAGGAAUCACAAAUUGCUUUGGAAAUCAUGUGGACCUAGCUCUUGGCAACACAGAAUCCACAUCUAACCUCGUUCUACUCAGCUCUGCUGUCCCAAAGGUAUUUCAGAUCUACCCUCUUACCCUUUCUCCCAUUAAGGUUCAAAGUACUAUUACUGGUUUCCAAAUUUCCUUUAAGACAGUAUUAUUUCUUCAAAAGAAAAUUGAUUUGGAAACCAAUUUUAUUGAAGCUACUCUAUUUCUAUCCAAAAUAGGACGGAAUGCUAACUGCCUCCCUGAGUUUCCUACUUUGUCCAGAGCUCUGAGAGAACCCGCCAAGCCUAUUUUAAAACACUCUCCCCUGGAGAACUGACUUACCUGGAGCUUGGCCUCUGGGGGCCCACACUCUGGGCUGAAUGAUAAAUCCGGGGCUGGGCUGAGAGUCAAUUUGGCCCUCAAACUUAUCAGCCCUGUUCCUCAUUGUUUUUCUGUACAUUUUUAAAAGGGCUGCCUACCUUUUUCAGAAUCGAUGAGCAAAAUCACACAUCCUCAUGUCCAUCUGGUGCUCUGUAUUGUGUCCGAGGCUACUGCAAAGUGAUAAAAACUAGGACUCAGUUUUGAAAGGAGAGGCAAGCGAGGUGCCAUUGUUGAAACAGCCUUUCCGGUUGGAAUUGUUAAGACUGAAUUUCUUUUUCUCAGCAGGGCUUGUGUAGAGAGCUCCACACCUCACUUAGUGUAAACAGCAGGUUCUUACCCCACAGUCAAGUAAAAAAGAAAGAUAAACAGGUCAGAUCUCAGAUACUUGCAAAGAGGGUUACAAAGAGAAUAGCUUGAGCACAUAUUGCACAGAAUAAAAAUCGGCUGGUCCAGUGUUUGUAUUUCUGGAGGGUGGGAGACGGAGGGAGGGAGGGAGGGAGAGAAAGAGACAGAGGUGUUUCUAAUUCAGACCUGCAGUAUAAUUUCACCAUCUGCUGGAAAGAGUCCCCGUGACACAAAAUUCUGCAGUUUCCCUACCUUCUCACGCCCCCACACUGUUUCCACUCCAUUGCUAGGAGAGGCUGUCUAGAACUGGAGAGUUUUGAGAAGCUGUUGGUGGAGGAGUCGUUUUUUUACAUAUCACCUCCUGUGCCCCAAAUCUUUCCCAGAAUCUAGGGGAAUAGAGGACAAGGCAGUUUUGUUGUUGUUGUUUGUUUGUUUGUUUUGAGGAGCAUUCUUCUUUUACUGGAUAUAAAAGUAAUACAUCUGACAAUGCCUGGUAAGGAUAUGGAGACAUAGGAUCUCUUACACAUUGCUGAUGGGACUAUGUAUUGAUUAAUGCAACAACUUUGGGAAAACACUUUCUUUUUAUUAUUAAUUGACAAAUCAUAAUCGUAUGUAUUUAUGGGGUAUGAUACGAUGUUCUGAUAUAUGUAUACAAUGUGAGAUGAUUAAAUCAAGUAAAUUAAUAUAUCCAGCACUUCAAACACUUUUUUAAUGGUGAAAAUGACACUGCCAUUACAAAAUUAUAACUGAAACAGGGAAAGAUAUCUGACCUAAACAACUCCAUCUUGCCUCUAACCUCCAAGCUGUCCCUGUUCAUUCCUCGGCAUAGGCCAAACUAACUUUGGGAGGAAUUUAGUUUAUAGUUUAAAACAAAAAUGACAACAGCCCUUUCCCAAAACAAACCUCUUUCUUGCAUGGGGUCUAGACUGCCUUUGUAGGACUAACAAAUUAGUCAAAAGAUUAGAAAUUAUGGUUUAGGAGUCAUGCUGCUGGAGGCUACAAGAUUCUGAGCCCUCCCCACAUUGCUCCUGGGGAUAAAAUUACUAUCGUAAAACCUACGACCACUGCUUGAGAUAUUUUGCAGACCCCGCACCUGAUGAAUCAGCUGGCACCACCCAGAUUGAAAAACUGGCUCAUCUGAUCUUGUGGCCCCCUACCCAGGAACUGACUCAGCGCAAGAGGACAGCUUCGACUGCCUGUGACUUCAUCUCCAACCCAGCCAAUCAGCACUCCCAAAUCACUGCCCCCACCCACCAAAUUAUCCUUAAAAAUUCGGAUCCCCCUUGGGGAUACUGAUUUGAGUAAUAAUAAAACUCUGGUCUCCUGCA